rnacentral:lncRNA from 1 species
CAGUACCCUUGGUUAACCACUGGAGGACUGUCCCUUGUUCACGUGAAGGCAUUGGGCGGUGUCUGCCUUCUCUUGAAAGUAGCUGUCCAGUCCUGCUUUACGUCGCACGUACUACUAUGACGGGGACGGUCGUAUGUGCUGUUAUUUAUUUGCGACACACCCCUAACGCGAUGGUGGUCUACAAAAUGAAAAAAACGGUAGGACGGCUCGGCCAAGUAGUAUAGGCAGCUCAUUACUAGUUUUAGCAGACCCAAAUCUACUGAGUUUUGUUGUAUUCUAAUUUUGCUACGUCGUUCAUUGCCACUUUGAUGCAGAACAUGCUAUUGAUUCUACUGACGUUACUCAGUACUCCCAACUGCAUGGGUUACUCUACGGGCUGGAAUGAAGACAGGAAGGUUGUGUGCUCAGGGAAAGAUUUCCAAGUACCUGUCUUCUCAAGGUCGAGGAUUGUGACAUUCACUCCCAGCUCACCCCCUGGAUCUAAGAAAGUACUGCUGGAGAAUAAUAUUGUAAAGGAUCCAAGGUAUGAAUGGACCCGUGACCAGACUCUACUGGUGAGGGAGGUCACCCACCGGGACCAGGGAGUCUAUGCUGUCAAAUUUUCCCAUGGUUUUACCGUCGAGAGAGUCGAGCUCGUUGUCUCAGAAUGCAUUAGGAAGUUCCAUAAACAAUAUGGAGACACCUUUAAACUGGACAUCCCACAGGAUGGAGCCAUUCUGGAGUUAAACCCCUUCGCCCCCCUAUCUCUCCCUCCCACAUCUUCUCCUUCCCCCUCUCCCUCUCCUUCCUCUCUGUCCCCCCCUCUAUCCCCCUCUCCCUCUCCUUCUUCCUCUCUAUCCCCCUCUCCCUCUCCUUUUCCCUCUCUGCCCACCUCAAUCUCCUCCACCCCCUCUCCCCCUCCUUCUUCCUCUCUGUCCCCCCCUCUCUCUUUCUCCCCCUCCCCCUCUCACUCCUCCUCACCUUCUCCUCCUGUUUCUCAUCCUCCCACCCUGCCGCUAAUUCUCUGGACCGACGGCAGCCCCAGUGAGAGUAAAGGGGGCAGAGGGAGGGCGGAGGGCAGAUCCUGGGUGGUGGACAGGGUGACACUGGUGGACCAGGGCGACUACACCAUCAAAGACAGCCAUGGCGAGGUGGUGGCCAGAGCCAGCCUGACGGUGACAGCCCGCUGGUCCAAUCUCACUCUUUACAACAAGGAGUCUCUCUUCAUCCCUCUGCACGUGCCCCUCCCUCAGGCCCAGCUGCGUCUCACAGCGGUCCUCUCCUCUCACUCUCACUCCCACCCUUCCUCGUCUUCCUCUUCCCCUCCCUCCUACGUCACAUCCCGCUCUCCAACCAUCCUCUUGCGGGACGGGCAGAUUGUGGAGGAGAGGCCGUGGCACCGCAGGCGACUCUCGCUUGAGCGGAACAGCACGGGCAUUUACUUUGUUGUGGCAACUCUCAGUGCAAAGGAUGAUGGGAUAUAUGAAGUCCAUGAUGAACAAGGGAACCUUGUGUCUACAGACAUUGUGAGGGUUGUGGAUAAGCACGUGAGAUGGAGGGCUGUGAUUAAGUCCAUCACGGUCCCCUCGGGCAUGUUUGCGUCUCUGGCUGGUUUUAUCCUCUUCGUGAAGAGGUAUCCCAGCUGCAGUGUCUCAAAGAUACUCAGUGGCCUGAGAGAUCGCCGCAAUGCCACCACUGCCGGCGUCCCACCCAGAGUACACAUUGAGGACUACAGUGAGCCCGACCUCACCAAUUACACCAGUUCUCCAUAUAAGAUCAGAUCGUCCAAACAGUGGAGUUCCAGUCCCGCACACAGUGUAAGCUACAGUGUUUGCUGUGGUGUUGAUAACCUAUGCUACACAGUGUAAGCUACAGUGUUUGCUGUGGU